UGACCCUGGAAAUCCAGAGUGGGUGGGGCCUGUCUGACCCUCUAGGCGACCCACUCUUGGUUUCCAGGGCUG
rnacentral:pre_miRNA from 1 species